GGACUAAAGGUUCUGUUCAGAACGAGGGAGGGACCUGAGAACGAAAUCUAGAAUUUUAACAAGCCUUGAAGAGUGCCAGGACUUAGACCCUGUGUCUGCCGUCCUCUCGGCUCGGAUAGGUGGCGGGGACAGGCUGAAAACGAGACGUUUGUUUCGCUUUGCUACCUUGCAAGCCGGUCAUGACGGAACAGAAAUGAUGGUUCCAUCUGAAGCCAUAUGGGUCUGAAUCGGGAGGAACCGACUCUCCGGAGCGCGGCGCCGACCUCACCGGCAGGGCAGGGGCCUGCGCGACUCUGCUCUAGACGGACGGUGACGCUUCAGACCCUGCCGGGGGAAGGUCAAGGAAACGGCGUGGCCUGAAGUGGGGCUGUGCAGAGGGCCGGGCCGGGCCGGGCCGGGCGCCUGGCUGCGUCUCGGGGACGCCGAAGAUCUGGGCUGUGAAAGCAGCAGGCCGAACCUGGAGAGCCCAGACGGCAAGUGUCGCGUCAUGCGCGAGCUUCCUCGAACAACUGAUGACACGCACACAUUGACAUGCGAGGAAGAAAUGGAGCCUCUUCUUAAAAGGACACGAGUCUCCACUCACUCCAUCCACUGUCCCUGGGCGCUCCCCCAGUUUGCUCGCUAUGACCCGCGGGCAGUUUAACAAGCAAAGCACUUAGUCUAUGCCAGGCACAUACAUUAAUCCAUUCAAUGACAAAGGCUAGAAAGCAUAUAAAGCUUCCAAAAAUAAUCAGAGGCUUAAGUCGUCUCCCCCUGCCUUCUGCCGGUGGAUUUCUCUUGCAAUCACUAAUUGCUUUUAUUUCUAGCCUUGAGUUAAGUGGUUAAAAUUUUCUUUGCAAAUACAAAAAAUAUUCAAAUGGCAGUAUGAAUUCUGGAUUACGAGGACAAUGUGCUCAGUGAUAACAGCGACUGGUUAGGAACCGUCACAAAGUGCUGUCUACUGCCUCGCCUCCCAUCAUGGUCCCCUUUUACUGAUCAGAUGCCGAACAAGUGGCAGAGAUAAGACCCAAAGCUCGGCUCCUACCAGGAAAGGCAUACCUAACCCGUUUCCUACUGCUGCCCUAUAAGCUUUCUAGGAAACAGGAGGGCAAUUAACAGCUACAUCAAGGCUUGUACCCAGUGUCUUCGUGGAAGGAAAGAUGUCAACCCGGGGCGUGGUUGUACACCGAGACUUCUGUUCACUUUCCUUACUGCUGAAUUAGAGAAAUAAUUUAAUGCAGUCCUUACCAUUUCGAAUCCUACUAAAUUCGGUUUGAUACUUAUAAGGUGGUAGACUUGAGUAAGAUUCAAAUAGACUCAAUUAAAUGGUCCUAUAGAAAGCCAAUUCUAGGGAGUGACCUUACGAGACCAGUGAAGCAGAGAGCCAAUUCUUGUCGGACUGGAGACCCACAGUCCAGGUGAAUUUACCUAAGAGAGGCUUGCAAGUGCUGUCCUCAGUGCCCUUGCCUGGGUGUAAAAUAGCAGAGACCGAA
rnacentral:lncRNA from 1 species